rnacentral:rRNA from 1 species
GAUGAACGCUGGCGGCGUGCCUAAUACAUGCAAGUCGAGCGAACGGACGAGAAGCUUGCUUCUCUGAUGUUAGCGGCGGACGGGUGAGUAACACGUGGAUAACCUACCUAUAAGACUGGGAUAACUUCGGGAAACCGGAGCUAAUACCGGAUAAUAUUUUGAACCGCAUGGUUCAAAAGUGAAAGACGGUCUUGCUGUCACUUAUAGAUGGAUCCGCGCUGCAUUAGCUAGUUGGUAAGGUAACGGCUUACCAAGGCAACGAUGCAUAGCCGACCUGAGAGGGUGAGCGGCCACAGGGGAACGGAGACACGGCCCAGACGCCGACGGGAGGAAGCAGUGGGGAGUCUUCCGCAAUGGGCGAAAGCCUGACGGAGCACCGCCGCGGGAGUGAUGAAGGUCUUCGGAGCGUAAAACUCUUUUAUUGGGGAAAAAAAUAUGUGUAAGUAACUGUGCACAUCUUGACGGUACCUAAUCAGAAAGCCACGGCUAACUACGUG